CAAUCAACACUUUAGAAUAAAGUGAUACCCUUAAGCUUGAAAGUGAGAGACUAACCAUAUUAUCCUGACUAAUCAUCAUGAGCUAUCACAAUCAUAAUACUUGCAAAAGAGAAAACAGUGGUUUAAUUAAUUGUAACACCUUCAGGGUGAGAGGAUGGGGGUAAGGGUGGGCAGGAAAGGAGCAAGAUUCUUCCCCAGAUACAUUCUGCAAAUCUGUAGAUGCACCCAAAGUAGAAGAAAAGGGAAAUGAAAAGCUCCAGGUACAUCAUUCAUUCAACUUUACAAGUCUGCCUUAAUGGCCAAAAUAAGCGACAAAGAGCUAGUUUCAAUUUCUUCUUUCCUAUAAGGGGUCUAAAAUGUCAGAGGUACGAGGACUUCUGAGUGGGAAAACUCCUUUGACCAUUGCAGAUGGACGUCUAAAAAAAUGGUCCCGUGCCUUGGGCGUGGAGAGUUCCCGUGAUUUUCUUGGGGGUCACGUGGACAUGGGACUUUAACCCAUGUCUUCCUGUCAGGAAAACUAGGACGCUUCUUGAUUGGCUUCAACAGACCUUUCCACAAACUCUAUAAAAAACCAUUUUGACAUAAUGGGAAUUUGGCUGGUUACUGGGAGGCAUCGAGGGGACCACGCCCUCGUACAGUGAGAAUCCCACCCCCUCCCCUUGUUCCGGUACACGUGGAGGCCCUGGGGGGCAGGAGGAACACGUGAGGCGGGGCUUUGGGGGCCGACACCAAACCGAGGAUGGGCGACUUGUGGAGCAAGGACAGAUGCGCCAUAGGGAGCGUAAAGUCACGUGGGCCAGUCUGACAGGGGGACUGGGCGGGCAAAGGAUUCCACUCUGCAACCCGGAAGUCUCAAGCCAAGACCCCGUCAAGCGGCUGCAACUGUGCUGGCGUCUCUUCAAGGUCUUUUCCAAUUGGAAUUAAAGGACAAAGGUGGUAAAGUUUGAGGAUGUGAACUAGGUUGCUGUGUUGGACAUUGGAGCACAAGAGCCAUCAUGUUCCAUUUAAAUCAUGAGAGAGAAUGGAAGAAAAUCUUGAGGACCAUUUGAAGGAUUUGGUCUUAAAUAACUAAGUGACAGAAUCUAUUCAUACUUACAUCAAGAUAGCUAUAUGGUUUCCAGAGGAAGUUGGGAUGGGCACUCAGGCACUAAUGUAUCCAGAAUCAUCUUUAGUCAAUAGAUUGUCAGCUCUAGUUGUAAACAAUUUAAUUCUUAUUAAGAUCUCAACAGAUACUACAAACAAGUAACUUGGACCCAUUAUCUGUACACUUAGACCAUCCAGUCAACAAGUGCAGAAUCAUGAAGGAGUAUAGUCAAGAGGAGGCAGUAAAUAUUCCAAGAUCAGUAACUAUGACUUCAGAAACAGAGUCCUCAAAAUUUGACUGGUUAUUUCCUAGUGCUUAUAACAGAAGAAACAUUUGAAGCAGAAACUUAGAAAAGAGGUGUGUUCUUACUGUAGGAGGGAGCUGUGAAUCAAGAAUCAGCUAGUCAUUGACAUUAGCA
rnacentral:lncRNA from 1 species